GAACAACCCAGACUAUGGUUAAGGCCCCUAAGUGUCAGCUAAGUGAUAAAGGGUAAACGGUGUCCAUGAUCUGAGACAGUGAGGAGGUUGGCUUAGAAGCAGCCACCCUUGAAAGAAAGCGUAACAGCUCACUCACUCAGAGAUCUUGCGCCGCAGAUAAUCGGGGCUAAACAUGGUACCGAAACUGAGGGCUUGUGAACUUCAUUGAGGAAGUAAUAUAAAACGAACGACAAAUUCGAUCCGUGGCAAAUAAAAGUCCGGUGAAGAUCUGCAAGGGCGACAUGCCCGUAUGAGUCGUUCGUUAUGGAGUGGGAGAUAUACCUUCGUGGUAGCCCAUCUUUGGGAGUGACGUUCGCCGUCACAUGUACGGAUUGGAUUAGACACCCAGUGCGGUUUGGUAUACCAAAGGUAAGUGUGGAGAAAUUCGCAUUUCCUCCAAGGGGGGUACAAAGCAGUGAGUAUUCAUAACGAACUGCGUGACCACCUUACCAGGGUGAUCAUCGGCGUAACAGCCUAGAGGUCUACGACUUCGGUCUAACCUCGACCUCCCGCCAAUCUUUUGUUCUUUCAUUUUGUUUGGAAAUGAAGGUGUAGUUCAGGGGUAGAGCACAGCCUUGAUAGGGUUGAGGUCGGAAGUUUGAAUCUUCCCACCAACACCAAACAAAUUUUGUCUAGCGUGACCGUAGCUCAAUUGGUAGAGCAGGGGCUGUAAACCCUAGUAUGCUGGGUUCGAUUCCCGCCGGUCCCACCAGACAAACACAACCCGAAUGAUCAGACGGGCAAAUCUGGUCUCCUCAAUGAAGUUCACAAGCGGUAGGAGAGCGUUCCAUUUGCUAUGAAGGUGAAGGGGUAACCCACACUGGAGCGUAUGGAAGUGAGAAUGUUGGCACAAGUAACCACAAGAGGGGUGAGAUCCCCCUCCGCCGAAAACCCAAGGUUUCCUUGGCGAUGCUAAUCAGCCAAGGGUUAGUCGGGCCUAAGCCGAUCCCGAAAGGGGGAGGUGAUGGACACACGGUUAAUAUUCCGUGACUUUUUAUGUAUGCGAUGGGACGACGGAGUGUAGUAGAGAGAGCGCAUUAUUGGAUUUGCGUCUGUGCUGUAAGGGUGGUUUUUAGGUAAAUCCGGGAACCAUUAAACCCAAGCAGAGCAGAAAUCUGGCGAUUUCGGUCAAAAGAAAUUCUCUUGAGCACGCUUCCAAGAAAAAUCUCUAAGCUUCAGUACAUAGAAAACCGUACCGUAAACCGACACAGGUAGGUAGGUCGAGAAGACCAAGGCGAACGAGUGAGAGGUCCUCAAGGAACUCGGCAAAAAAGCAGCCGUAAGUUAGCGAUAAGGCUUGCCCUUCUCAGUAAUGGGAAGGGCCGCAGCGAAAGUAACCCUGCCGACUGUUUAUCAAAAAAACAGCUCCCUGCAAACUCGCAAGAGGAAGUAUAGGGGGUGACGCCUGACCAAUGCCCGAAGGUCAAAUACGGGGGGUCUAAAGAGCUUUGCUUUUUAGGCUGGACUGUAUAAGCCCGGGUCAAUGUCGGCGAUAACUAUAAUCGUCCUAAGGUAUGCCGUGUGUGCAUUGCACGUACGGCAUAGGACUGGGACGAUUAUGGCGAGUGUAAUAAACAGAAACGCAAAAUAUAGCUACCUUCUCAUGCAGGAAUGCGUGAGUUAGUCCGUAGCGCGACACGAAGAGGCCAUACGUCGCGAUCCCCAAAUGGGAGAAGACAUGGUCCAAGUUUAGGAACACUUGAGCGUAAUUCCUUGUCUGGUAAGUUCAGACGUGCACGAAUGGCGUAACGAGUGGGGUACUGUCUCGAGGA
rnacentral:rRNA from 1 species